UGCAGCUCUACAAAGGACACAAGGAUGUCCCCAUCCCAGCUCCUCUGCCUCCUGCUGCUCUGGGCUCAGGAGUCCAGGACAGCCAUUGUGAUGACCCAGACUCCAGCCUCCCUGUCUGUGGCUCUGGGAGAGAAAGUCACCAUCAACUGCAGGGCCAGUGAGGACAUUAUCCAUUAUUUAGCCUGGUACCAGCAGCCUCCAGGAAAACCUCCCAAACCUCUUAUCUACGAUGCUAAAUAUUUAACUCGCUUCAGUGGCAGUGGGUCUCGAACAGAUUAUACUCUCACAAUCAGCAGUGUGGAGGCUGAAGAUGCUGCACAUUAUUACUGUCUGCAAGGUUAUGAUUCUCCCACAAUGAUGAAGGCAUUUGGGGAAGGUACAAAGGCCCCCACUCCAUUCCUCACCUGCCUUUUACAUUCUCCAGCUUUUCCCUCCAUGGCUCUGGCUCUGGCAGGUUGA